rnacentral:lncRNA from 1 species
CUUAACAUGUCUUGCAGCAGAAACCACGGAAUACAAUGGAUGAGGAGAAAAAUAAAAUUAAUCCUAAUGACUGAAUACAAUAAACCAAAGAGAAAAGCAUCCUUGGCAUCACUUCCAGUAUCAGACAGUGAUGGAGCAUCUUUAAAGAGAAACAGUAUUUCAGAAGCAGGAAUCUACUUUGAUGUACAUGUUACAGGAUCAGAUGCCUCAGAACUUUUCAUACUAUACUCCUGCAAAGCUUGGAAUCAAUGCUGAAAUUGCUAAUAUCCAUGGUUUCUGUCUCCUUUGUAUGACAUUAAUAGUCUGCUUUACCUGGGAUAAUGUAAAAUUUUCUUUUUUGAGAUAGGUAACCACAAUUGGUAUCUGGAAUGUACCCAGAGAUUCCCUGGUAAGAAAUUAUCUGCUGACAAUG